CGGAUAUGCGAUGAAAUCAUUUCUUUUGGCUAAAUUUGAGAAUUGCUUAAAUAUGAUCAACCUGCAUCGAGCUAUUGCGAGAAGAGAAAAUUAAGUUUUCAAGAUGAACCAACACCAAUUUUCCGUCGAGACGAGAAUUUGGGGUAACGGACUCAGCUCAAUCAACCGGGUCAAGCAGGGAUGUUGACCAAGUCGAUUUCGCACUGGCCCCCACGUCUCUUCCGC
rnacentral:lncRNA from 1 species